GGGGUUGUAGCCUAGUGGCUAGAGCGUCGGACUCACGAUUUGAAGUUCGGGGCCGGGGGUUCAAUUCCCGAUCCCA
rfam:Macrostomum lignano uti_cns_0015659, whole genome shotgun sequence.